CACGUAGGGGACGAGCGUUGUCCGGAUUCAUUGGGCGUAAAGCGCGCGUAGGCGGCUCGGAAAGUCGGUCGUGAAAUCCCGAGGCUCAACCUCGGAACUGCCUUUGAUACUGGGGAUCUCGAGUCCGGGAGAGGUGAGUGGAACUGCGAGUGUAGAGGUGAAAUUCGUAGAUAUUCGCAAGAACACCAGUGGCGAAGGCGGCUCACUGGCCCGGAACUGACGCUGAGGUGCGAAAGCGUGGGGAGCAAACAGG
rnacentral:rRNA from 1 species